AGUGAACGCUGGCGGUAGGCCUAACACAUGCAAGUCGAACGGCAGCACAGUAAGAGCUUGCUCUUACGGGUGGCGAGUAGCGGACGGGUGAGGAAUACAUCGGAAUCUACUUUUUCGUGGGGGAUAACGUAGGGAAACUUACGCUAAUACCGCAUACGACCUACGGGUGAAAGCAGGGGAUCUUCGGACCUUGCGCGAUUGAAUGAGCCGAUGUCGGAUUAGCUAGUUGGCGGGGUAAAGGCCCACCAAGGCGACGAUCCGUAGCUGGUCUGAGAGGAUGAUCAGCCACACUGGAACUGAGACACGGUCCAGACUCCUACGGGAGGCAGCAGUGGGGAAUAUUGGACAAUGGGCGCAAGCCUGAUCCAGCCAUACCGCGUGGGUGAAGAAGGCCUUCGGGUUGUAAAGCCCUUUUGUUGGGAAAGAAAAGCAGCAGGUUAAUACCCCGCUGUUCUGACGGUACCCAAAGAAUAAGCACCGGCUAACUUCGU
rnacentral:rRNA from 1 species